CCUACGGGUGACAGCAGUGAGGAAUAUUGGUCAAUGGCCGUAAGGCUGAACCAGCCAAGUAGCGUGAGGGAAGACUGCCCUAUGGGUUGUAAACCUCUUUUAUGCGGGGAUAAAGGUGUCCACGUGUGGAUGUUUGCAGGUACCGCAUGAAUAAGGACCGGCUAAUUCCGUGCCAGCAGCCGCGGUAAUACGGAGGAUCCGAGCGUUAUCCGGAUUUAUUGGGUUUAAGGGGAGCGUAGGUGGAUUGUUAAGUCAGUUGUGAAAGUUUGCGGCUCAACCGUAAAAUUGCAGUUGAAACUGGCAGUCUUGAGUACAGUAGAGGUGGGCGGAAUUCGUGGUGUAGCGGUGAAAUGCUUAGAUAUCACGAAGAACUCCGAUUGCGAAGGCAGCUCACUGGACUGCAACUGACACUGAGGCUCGAAAGUGUGGGUAUCAAACAGGAUUAGAUACCCUUGUAGUC
rnacentral:rRNA from 1 species